rnacentral:rRNA from 1 species
AUUAAAGUUGUUGCAGUUAAAAAGCUCGUAGUUGGACUUGUGUGCGCUGUCCGCGGGUGGCCUGCGCCCAAAAGGGCGUUUCGGUUCGGCCCCGGUGGCGCCUUGAAAUCUGCAGCUGGGGGGACGUUGGCCUUAACUGGUCGGCGACCGCACGCCGGCUGCUCGGUUACUGUGAGAAAAUUAGAGUGUUCAAGGCAGGCAUUGGGUGCAAUUGAAUACAUUAGCAUGGAAUAAUAAAAUAUGGCUCCUGCCGUAUUUUGUUGGUUUUGACUGGUGGGAGUAAUGAUUGAUAGGGACGGUUGGGGGUGCUAGUAUUGAGCGGCCAGAGGUGAAAUUCAUGGAUUCGCUCAAGACUAACUUAUGCGAAAGCAUUCACCAAGGACGUCCUCUUUAAUCAAGAACGAAAGUUGGGGGAUCGAAGACGAUCAGAUACCGUCGUAGUCUCAACCAUAAACUAUGUCGACUUGGGAUCGGCGGUAGUUUUUUUCAUUAAGACACUGUCGGGACCACGGGAGAAAUCAAAGUGUCUGGACUCUGGGGGAAGUAUGGUCGCAAGGCUGAAACUUGAAGGAAUUGACGGAAGGGCACCACCAGGAGUGGAGCCUGCGGCUUAAUUUGACACAACACGGGGAAACUUACCAGGUCCAGAGAUGUAGAGGAUUGACAGAUUGAAGCUCCUUCUUGAUCACUUCGGUGGUGGUGCAUGGCCGUUCUUAGUUGGUGGAGUGAUUUGUCUGGUUAAUUCCGUUAACGAACGAGACCUCAGCCUGCUAGUGUAGUCGGCUGGAUUGCCUUUGGCGAUCCGUGAUUUCGACUUCUUAGAGGGACAAUCGACGCGCAGUCGAUGGAAGUUUGAGGCAAUAACAGGUCUGUGAUGCCCUUAGAUGUUCUGGGCCGCACGCGCGCUACACUGCUGGGCUCAGCGAGUUUUACUUGGCCGAGAGGCCCGGUUAAUCUUGUGAAAUCCCAGCGUGCUUGGGCUCGCCUCCUGCAACUGGAGGCGCCAACGAGGAAUUCCUAGUAGACGCAGGUCAUCAACCUGCAUCGAUUACGUCCCUGCCCUUUGUACACACCGCCCGUCGUUCCAUAAGAGUGAGGCAUCCGGUGAAUUCUCGGGAGAGCCUGGGCGUGGCCAGCAAUGGUCUGCUCGGGUUUGAACUUGCAUAAACUUGGUGCCUAUGAUUAGGG